rnacentral:tRNA from 1 species
GCCCGAGUGGUGGAAUGGCAGACACGCGGGACUCAAAAUCCCGUCGCGGCAACGCGGUGUGGGUUCGACUCCCACCUCGGGCA